UGGGGCGUCGCCAAGUGGUAAGGCAGCGGACUUUGACUCCGCUACUCGUAGGUUCGAAUCCUGCCGCCCCAG
rnacentral:tRNA from 2 species